rnacentral:rRNA from 1 species
UGUGAACUCGAAGAGUAGGGCGGGACACGUGGUAUCCUGUCUGAAUAUGGGGGGACCAUCCUCCAAGGCUAAAUACUCCUGACUGACCGAUAGUGAACCAGUACCGUGAGGGAAAGGCGAAAAGAACCCCGGCGAGGGGAGUGAAAAAGAACCUGAAACCGUGUACGUACAAGCAGUGGGAGCCUCUUAAUGGGGUGACUGCGUACCUUUUGUAUAAUGGGUCAGCGACUUAUAUUCUGUAGCAAGGUUAACCGCAUAGGGGAGCCGAAGGGAAACCGAGUCUUAACUGGGCGUUAAGUUGCAGGGUAUAGACCCGAAACCCGGUGAUCUAGCCAUGGGCAGGUUGAAGGUUGGGUAACACUAACUGGAGGACCGAACCGACUAAUGUUGAAAAAUUAGCGGAUGACUUGUGGCUGGGGGUGAAAGGCCAAUCAAACCGGGAGAUAGCUGGUUCUCCCCGAAAGCUAUUUAGGUAGCGCCUCGUGAAUUCAUCUUCGGGGGUAGAGCACUGUUUCGGCUAGGGGGUCAUCCCGACUUACCAACCCGAUGCAAACUGCGAAUACCGAAGAAUGUUAUCACGGGAGACACACGGCGGGUGCUAACGUCCGUCGUGAAGAGGGAAACAACCCAGACCGCCAGCUAAGGUCCCAAAGUCACAGUUAAGUGGGAAACGAUGUGGGAAGGCACAGACAGCCAGGAUGUUGGCUUAGAAGCAGCCAUCAUUUAAAGAAAGCGUAAUAGCUCACUGGUCGAGUCGGCCUGCGCGGAAGAUGUAACGGGGCUAAACUGUGCACCGAAGCUGCGGCAGCGACACUAUGUGUUGUUGGGUAGGGGAGCGUUCUGUAAGCCGUUGAAGGUGUGUCGUGAGGCAUGCUGGAGGUAUCAGAAGUGCGAAUGCUGACAUAAGUAACGAUAAUGCGGGUGAAAAACCCGCACGCCGGAAGACCAAGGGUUCCUGUCCAACGUUAAUCGGGGCAGGGUGAGUCGACCCCUAAGGCGAGGCCGAAAGGCGUAGUCGAUGGGAAACAGGUUAAUAUUCCUGUACUUGGUGUUACUGCGAAGGGGGGACGGAGAAGGCUAUGUUAGCCGGGCGACGGUUGUCCCGGUUUAAGCAUGUAGGCGGAGGUUCCAGGUAAAUCCGGUACCUUUUUAACGCUGAGGUGUGAUGACGAGGCACUACGGUGCUGAAGUAACAAAUGCCCUGCUUCCAGGAAAAGCCUCUAAGC